ACCGAAUUCGCACUGCGCAUGUGCAAACGGUAUCUUGGGAGUUCCCGGCCAUGUUAUGCAGGUGUUUGAAAAAAAAAUGGAUACAUUUUUGGCGUUGGAAACUAUACUUACUGACAAAACAUCCAUUUGAACUGGGAGUGUGGACACAAGAGGUGUGCGGACUCCUGCAGUCCUGAGAUUGAGAACAAUUGUGGCAGAUAGCUGGGUUUAAGUGGGUUACACCUGUUCACUCAGAACUGCUUUGUUCCAGAGAUGUGCAAUAAUGAGGGAAAUGCCUGAGUACAUGUAUGUACGAUUUGACCGAACGUGACCACAGAAACAUCUUAAUAUUAGAACUGCACAAGAUAAGUUAUUAUACCUUUAUAUUAUUAUAUUAUAUAUCAUAUUUCCUUUUUCAUGAACAUGCCUUAUGAAUGCGGUAAAUACGAAUCACUUCUUUUUUCGACAUUUCUUGUGAGAAAAUUAGAAGUUACCAAAUAAUCGUUUUAAACUUCCGCAAGUCAGAACCUUGUUUGUAUCAAUAUAUUUAUACUACACUACAUACUUUAUUAAAAUAAAAACCACAACAUUUAUAUUUUAUGGUAGUCUAAAAUAAUAGACGUGUUAUACGGGAUUUGCCAUAUCAAAAAUCUAAAAAAAAAUCGUCAACAUACAAUUAUUUGGACUAUAUUUUAUGGCUGAAACAAGCAAAUCAAAAUCAUAUCAUAAAAUAAUUUAUAUGAUUGAAGUUUUAUUCAUUUAAUUUGUAUUUUGUGGACAUCGUGGGUAACAAAUUUGGGAUAAAUGAAUUGUUAUUAACAAAACAAGAUGGAAAAAAAAACAUUUACAAUUUUUCAAUUUAAAUUUGUUAUAUUUCAAAUGCUACAUAUAUAUAACAUUAAAACCAAUCAAGCAUUUGCUGCUGGUUUUUGCAAUCUUACAGUGAAUGUGCUAGGCGCCAGCAUUUUUCCCAAGAUUGCUUAAACCGAACCUGGGUAGCAUAAAAUGUUUGUUUGAUCUUCAUGUUAUUUGCCAUCUUUGUUGGCACACAAUUGGGGCUUUUUAAGGUUAUAAGAAAAUAUUGACAAGUCGAUAGGCAAACCUUGUUCACAAAAUAUACUAUUCAAAUUUGUUUUUGGUUCAAAUUUUAUUAUCAAAUUAAUUAAUAACAUACAAAUUGAUUAAAAAUGUAUAUAUACAACAAAUAGAAACUAAGGUAUAAGACAACUAUUGUUAUGUAUUGUCUAAAAUAGGGUGUUUAAAAUAAAGUCAUAAAAUAUGGGCGUUGCAGAAAAUGUCAUUUUUCUUAUAUAGUUUGUCUUUUUCCAAUCAUUAUUUGGUACAUGAUAGUAUGAACUCGUAUACAGAUGAGGUUGUUGUUUUUGCAAACAAACAAAAAACCUUGAUGAUUAGGAUGACACAUACAUGUGAAAUUAAAGAAAAGGUUUUAUAACGUGUAUGCUGCAAAUAACGCUAUUAUUUCAGAAUUUAACCCCCAUUUCAUGAAACUGGAAGUCAACAUAACCCAGGAAAAAGCCAGAUGCAAUAUGAUAACAGAUGAUUCAGGUUGAUGGCGUUACAACAAUCUUGCUGGAAUGAAGAUCCCUGAAUAUCACCAUAGCCACAAGGGGCUGGAUUGGAAUGAAAUGUUUCUGCAUCCUCCCUGUUCCCCUUGUCUUCCCUUGUCAUUACAGACCUGAUUAGACCUCUGAAUGCUGAUGUCACAGCUAUCGUACCAUGUGACGUCAUUUGUUCAACCCGACAGCUUCCUGUGUAGGAAUACGUCACAGAAGCAUAAGUCCUCAUUUUCUUAAGCUGGAACGUCAAUACCAUCCCAAAAGAGUUUCGGUGCGCGUGACAACAAACUCGUAGUUGAUGACAUAUUUCCUAAUACAGGGUCACAUAAAUAUCUCCAUAGCCACAAGAACAGUGGCCAGUCACUCAGUUCCUGCCAAUUUCCCCGACUUUCUUCCUGUGGCAUCACAUACCUGUUCAAGACUACUGGGUGCUGAUGUCACAGCUAUUGUACUACAUGACAUCAUUCGUUCAACCCCAACAGCUUCCGGUGUGAGACAGAGCAUCACAGAAGCAUGCAAGUUUUACAGAGAUACCUAUGCCUGUAUUAAUAAAAAAUGACCAAAUCUUCUACAGAAUAACGCUAGAUAAAACACCACUACAGAAAUGAGACUGACGCCAGAUAUAACUGCCCUAGAGAAUAACGCCAGAUAAAGCUGCCAUACAGAAUAACGCCAGAUAAAACACCGCUUCAAAAUAACGUUAGAUGAAACUGAGCUCCAAAAUAAUGAAACACAGUUCAGAAACUGCCAGAUAAAACUGCACUACAGAAUAACACUCAGAAAUGGCUUCACAAUAAUGCCAGAUGAAACUCCCCUACAGAAUAACGCCACAUGAAACUGCGCUAUAUAGAAUAACACCAUUUGAGACUGGGCUAAGAUGCCAGAUGAAACUGCGCUGCAGAAUAACACUAGAUGAAGCUGCGCUAUAUAGAAUAACACCAUUUGAGACUGGGCUAAGAUGCCAGAUGAAACUGCGCUGCAAAAUAACACUAGAUGAAACUGCGCUACAGAAUAACACAAGAUGAAAUUGCGCUGCAGAAUAACACAAGAUGAAGCUGCGCUGCAAAAUAGCACAAGAUGAAACUGCGCUACAGAAUAACACAAGAUGAAACUGCACUGCAGAAUAACACUAGAUGAAACUGCGCUGCAGAACAGCACAAGAUGAAACUGCACUGCAGAAUAACACAAGAUGAAGCUGCGCUGCAGAACAGCACAAGAUGACACUGCACUGCAGAAUAACACUAGAUGAAACUGCGCUAUAUAGAAAAACACCAUUUGAGACUGGGCUAAGAUGCCAGAUGAAACUGCAAAAUAACACUAGAUGAAACUGCGCUGCAGAAUAACACUAGAUGAAACUGCGCUGCAGAAUAACGUCAGAUGAAACUGCGUUAUAUAGAAUAACACCAUUUGAGACUGGGCUAAGAUGUGAGAUGAAACUGCGCUACAGAAUAACACAAGAUGAAACUGCGCUGCAGAAUAACACAAGAUGAAGCUGCGCUGCAGAAUAGCAUAAGGUGAAGCUGCGCUACAGAGUAGCACAAGAUGAAACUGCACUACAGAAUAACACUAGAUGAAACUGCGCUGCAGAAUAAGUCUAGAUGAAACUGCGCUACAGAAUAACCUUAGAUGAAACUGCGCUGCAGAAUAACCUUAGAUGAAACUGCGCUAUAGAAUAACACAAGAUGAAACUGCGCUGCAGAAUAACACAAGAUGAAACUGCGCUGCAGAAUAACACAAGAUGAAAUUGCCCUGCAGAAUAAAGCCAUAUGAGAUUGGGCUAAGAUGCCAGAUGAACCUGCGCUACAGAAUAAUGUCAGAUGAAACUGCGCUGCAGAAUAACACCAUAUGAGAUUGGGCUAUGAUGCCAGAUGAAACUGUGCUACAGAAUAACACAAGAUGAAACUGCACUGCAGAAUAAUGCCAGAUAAAACUGUGCUACAGAAUAACACAAGAUGAAACUACGCUACAGAAUAACGCCAGGUGAAACUGGGCUACAGAAUAACACCAGCAAAGACAUCGCUACAGAAUAAUAAUGCCAUUUGAGACUGUUCUACAAAAUGAAACCAGAUUAAAAAGUGCUACAUAAUAAUGUGGAAUUAAACUGCUGAUUCAUUGCAUGCUUUGAGUAGGAUAAAAUGUGGCUUGACUAUGGAAGGAAAUUUAAGAUGAUUAGAAAUCUGAAGACAAUCCAUUUUUACGAUGUAUCAACACUUUUAAAGAUUAUUGUUUUAUACCACAAAAUAGAGUUUGCUUUUGCUAAGAUAUUAAAAUGCUAACUGUUUUGGCAACUUGACUGCUUACAACAACGUUGUAUACCAGACGGCACCUUAAUUAGAAAAAGGAGAGAUUUUCUAAAUUAAUGAAGUAAUUUGAUCAUAGACAAUUGAUUUUAUGUAAAUUUUUGAACUUCUAACCUAUUGGGAGGCGCCUGCUUCUUUAAAGAUGAAACGUUGGUGAAUUGCUGAAACACACUAGUUGUUCUCUAACACUUAGUAAGAACACUUUAGUUGUUCUCUAACACUAACACUUGACACCUCUACUCAGUGAUUCACCAACAAAGCACCCCCUUUGGUUGAAAACAUGUACAAAUAUAUAAAAUAUAUAUCAUUAUUAGUAUUUUGAAUUUAUCAUCUCUCCAAGUCAAUGUUCACUAUUGUAAGUUUUAUUUUCGUUUGUUUUUGAUACAUCACAAAUUUAAAAACAUAUAACAUGUUUUUAAAUGUUUAAUAACAUUUUUUAUAUGCCAUUGUUUAUUAAAAUGAUAAUAAUUAUAUACUUGCAUACAUUUUAAACUAAAAAUGUAUAAUAAAUAUUGUGCUACAUGUA